rnacentral:rRNA from 1 species
UAACAGAAAGCAGCUUGCUGCUUUGCUGACGAGUGGCGGACGGGUGAGUAAUGUCUGGGAAACUGCCUGAUGGAGGGGGAUAACUACUGGAAACGGUAGCUAAUACCGCAUAACGUCGCAAGACCAAAGAGGGGGACCUUAGGGCCUCUUGCCAUCGGAUGUGCCCAGAUGGGAUUAGCUAGUAGGUGGGGUAACGGCUCACCUAGGCGACGAUCCCUAGCUGGUCUGAGAGGAUGACCAGCCACACUGGAACUGAGACACGGUCCAGACUCCUACGGGAGGCAGCAGUGGGGAAUAUUGCACAAUGGGCGCAAGCCUGAUGCAGCCAUGCCGCGUGUAUGAAGAAGGCCUUCGGGUUGUAAAGUACUUUCAGCGGGGAGGAAGGGAGUAAAGUUAAUACCUUUGCUCAUUGACGUUACCCGCAGAAGAAGCACCGGCUAACUCCGUGCCAGCAGCCGCGGUAAUACGGAGGGUGCAAGCGUUAAUCGGAAUUACUGGGCGUAAAGCGCACGCAGGCGGUUUGUUAAGUCAGAUGUGAAAUCCCCGGGCUCAACCUGGGAACUGCAUCUGAUACUGGCAGGCUUGAGUCUCGUAGAGGGGGGUAGAAUUCCAGGUGUAGCGGUGAAAUGCGUAGAGAUCUGGAGGAAUACCGGUGGCGAAGGCGGCCCCCUGGACGAAGACUGACGCUCAGGUGCGAAAGCGUGGGGAGCAAACAGG